UCUGUCUCUACCUGACGGUUCUUGUCCCUCUCCCUUCACCCCUUUGCCUUUAGGUUCAUCUAUCUCGUCGCAAUGGCAAGUGCGCUCUUUUCCCCUUUCGUAGGCUUUCCUUUCUUUUUUUGUAAAUUGCACCGUUUACAAAGCCUCUGAUGACGAGGGAUACCACAGCGCGUGGUGUUACAGGGUCCCGUAAACCCACUCCAUUGGGAAGCCGAGACGCCUCCUACUCUAUCCCUUCGAAUGCCGACCCACUGCUGGUGACAAGGUCGAGCACCUGCGACGUGGGGAGGUCAGAGCGAUGUAUCGCUGAUGAUGUCGGCGGCCAGGUCCCGGCUGGCGCUGCGUGGGGGCGACCGGCAACGGUGAACGCGCUUGCGCCAUCCAUGUGAUAGGCGGAGCGUCAGCGUGACUCGAACGCAUCUCACCCCUGCCCCGGCUGCCCACUGGCGUGGGAACGCUGGGUGUCACUGUGACGGGACGCACCGGGUGGCGGCCGGCAUAAUGUGAGCUUGUAUGGGGCGACCUGCGAAGCAAGAGUGGCUGGGCGGAGUUCGAGGCAGGCGCCGUGAUCAGGUGACUGAGUCGACGUUGGUGCAACGCGUGUCUACCGCUGCUUCGCACGACGCGGCGGGGGCCUGUGACAGGCCGGGGUAGCGGGGAACUCGACUCAUGUUGCAUGGCAGAAGGAGUAAGAUGAAAUCAAAGAUUACCGCUGCGUGUCGGUGCUCGAGAAAGAUAAGUGCGCAUUACGCAGGCGCGGCUUGGGCAGUGAAGCUAGCCGAGUAGCUAUCGCUUUCUCUCCUCCUCACCUCCCUUUACCAGCCACUGAAUGCACCACUCCCGGCGACAGAAAGCAAAAACUGCUCUCUAUUUCCGUUGCUUGCUAUUUUGACUUGUGUUCGCACGCCUUCAUCGAGACACAGCGGUGCGACGAGAUCGGCGGAAAAUCAAUUUUUAUUGGUUCCGUGGAAGCGAUGUGCUAAGUCUACGUGUAUCCGUGCCCCUUUCACUUUCCUUUUUUCUUUGAGAAAAAAGCCCCAGUGACCGCGUAGUGCCUUUCUCUCGUUAUUUCCACUGCCCGUGUCUUUAGAGUGAGUGCCACCCAUCCGAACCCCUUCAUGUCUCCUCCCGUGAUACAUGGCCCUGGAAGGAUGGACGGCACCGCACUCUCGUCAGUAUACAAACACAACAU
rnacentral:misc_RNA from 1 species